UUGGUGGCGACCGGCGCACGGGUGAGUAACGCGUAUGCAACCCCCUUAUCAGAGGGGAAUAACCCGGCGAAAGUCGGACUAAUACCGCAUAAAACAGGGACACCGCAUGGUGAUAUUUGUUAAAGAAAUUCGCUGAUAGAUGGGCAUGCGUUCCAUUAGGUAGUUGGUGAGGUAACGGCUCACCAAGCCGACGAUGGAUAGGGGAACUGAGAGGUUGGUCCCCCACACUGGUACUGAGACACGGACCAGACUCCUACGGGAGGCAGCAGUGAGGAAUAUUGGUCAAUGGGCGAGAGCCUGAACCAGCCAAGUCGCGUGAAGGAAGAAGGAUCUAUGGUUCGUAAACUUCUUUUGCAGGGGAAUAAAGUGCAGGACGUGUCCUGUUUUGUAUGUACCCUGAGAAUAAGGAUCGGCUAACUCCGUGCCAGCAGCCGCGGUAAUACGGAGGAUCCGAGCGUUAUCCGGAUUUAUUGGGUUUAAAGGGUGCGUAGGUGGUUUGAUAAGUCAGCGGUGAAAGUUUGCAGCUUAACUGUAAAAAUGCCGUUGAAACUGUCGGACUUGAGUGUAAAUGAGGUAGGCGGAAUGCGUGGUGUAGCGGUGAAAUGCUUAGAUAUCACGAAGAACUCCGAUUG
rnacentral:rRNA from 1 species